GCCAAUUGCACUUUCUGCCUGGGGCACCAGCUGCCACAGCUGGCCUCAGGCCGCUCCUGCAGGGAUCCAUUCUCCUUUGACUUGCUCUGUCUUCAUGGGAAUUACUCCUGGCUUACCCAAGGGUAAAUAAGAGGAGAAUCAGGCCCUUUCACAGCAGUUCUGAAUGGGCUCUUGAAACCAAAGGGGAGAACUGAGGAUGCAUCUCCAUAUGCGGUACAGAGGAGGGAACUGCAACUGUCCAGCUGAAUGAUGGGCCAACUACGCAUGGCAGGAAAUCCCAACUAGAACAAAAUAUAUAAAGGAAACGGUGACAUCUUCUUGCAAUAACUAAUGCCAAAUAUCAAUGGAACGUGUGUGAGUGUCUCUAAAAGUAUUUCAAGGCUGCCAGAAAAUUGGAUAUACACCCUGGUUCACAAGCCCUUGAAAAAAAAUUGCUGAUAAUUCAAGGCACCAGAAAUGAUAAAGGAAUUCAUUCCUUCUCUGCUUUCAAAACUUCCCCCCACCCGCCCUCUCCAAAAGGAGUGCCUAAUGGAUUCGCCUGCAAUUUGACAGAAAUACCACGGAGCAUAUAAGUAAAUAAUGAGACUUUCAUGUUCGCUGUGACAGCUGAUUAUAGGAAGAAAGGAAAUCCAGAGAAACAGAGCAGACGCCUUGUCUGACCAACAUCGAUACUGAAGCAGGAGCUAUUCUACAAUAGCUAUUCAGGAGUAACUCCCCAGGUGCAAACUCUAGUCCAGAAAAAAAAAGUGACUUCAUUCCACAACGGUUACUGCACUUGAAAAAGCCCUAGAAACAUGUUAAUAUUUCACCGGUUAAUGCCGCAAUUAAGCGUGCUGCAUCUUUUCCCCGGCUUUACAACGUCUCUCUUAUUGUUGACUUCAGAUUUAACUCAGAUGUUGAAGCAGGUGACGAGCUGUGAGUUCUUUCCCUGGGCCGCUUGGACAUUAGUUAAUUCCUGAAGUAUAAUAUCAGAGUGGAGGAGAAAGCCUCCAAGAAGAAAGGGAGAUGUUGAAGCAAUGCUGCAUAUUUCAAAGAUAAAAUGAAGUUAAGACCCCGUCCUUUAUAUGACUGACUCUCAUAAUAUUAAUGGGAGACUUGGUGUUUUUUCUCAAAGUCCCAGGUGCGGGAAUCUCAAAAUUGCAUGGGAAUUUCAGCUUUCCUAAAAUAAA